GGCUAAAACAGUCAGGAUGUUGGCUUAGAAGCAGCCAUCAUUUAAAGAAAGCGUAAUAGCUCACUGAUCGAGUCGUCCUGCGCGGAAGAUGUAACGGGGCUAAGCCAGUCACCGAAGCUGCGGAUAUUUUUUCUGUGAUUUAUCACUGGAAUCAAUAUGGUAGGAGAGCGUUCUGUAAGCCUGCGAAGGUGUCUUGUAAAGGAUGCUGGAGGUAUCAGAAGUGCGAAUGCUGACAUGAGUAGCGAUAAUGGGGGUGAAAAGCCUCCACGCCGUAAGCCCAA
rnacentral:rRNA from 2 species